AAUGGAAUACUAUUCAGCCUUAAAAAAGAAGGCAAUCCUGUUAUUUGCAACAACGUGGAGGAACCUGGAAAACAUCACAUUAAGCACAGAAAGACCAACUACUGUAUGAUCUCACUUACCUGUGGAGUCUCAAAAGGUUUAUCUCAUAGAAGUAGAGAAUAGAAUGGUGGUUACCAGGAACUAUGGGUUAGGGAGCUUGAAGAGAUAUUUGUCCAAAGAGACAAAAUUUCAGUUAGAUAGGAGGAAGAGUUUCAAGAUACCUGUUGUAUAGCGUGGUCACUAUACCUAAUAACAGCAUGUUAUAUUCUUGAGAAUGACUAAGAGAAGAUUUCAUAUUCUCACCACAAAAAAUAAGUAUGUGAAGUAAUGCAUUAAUUAAUUAGCUUGACUUCAUUAUUCCACUAUGUACGUUUCAAAACGUGUUGGACAUGAUAAAUAUAUGCAAUUUUUAUUAACUUUUUUAAAGAACAUGUGUUUACUUCUGUCACUUGGGAUCCAGAACUUAGCACUGGCACAGUAUAAUCUGAAACCAUGAACAUUCAUUCUCAUGAUUAACACUGUUCAGGCCUCAGAGAAAGCACUUCUCUAUGUCUUGCCCUGUGUUUUCAAAACAAAAGGCAAUUAUGUCCAAAUGCUAUAAAAGUUUGUGAGUUGUGCUGCUGCCAGUGUCACAGAUGGAUAGUGCUUUGAAAUGAGAGAGGAUCUGAGUGGCAAAAGCACAUAGAUUUUUUAAAAGGCAAAUAAUUUGUAUCAAUUUAGGUUUGGUUAGGACCACUUUAGGUGUUAUGAAAAAAGGACAUUUAUUAAAGGAAUUAGGGUUAACACAAUAUGGGGAAGAGCUGAGAGAGUGAACACUGGAAAAUCUUCAACUGGAGGGUCAGGGAAAUGGUCACUAAUAGUUACGCUGAAGCAAUAAAACACAUGAUUUCUAAAAGGUUAUUAGGAAACUUCUGCAAUAUCAGUAUCUCUGGGAAUCUUCCUACCAACUGUCAGGCUACCACAGAAAUGUGAGUGCCUCUGAAUUGCCUGGGAAGCCACAGUGCAUCCUCAUCUGCCCAUAAUUCUAGACACCAUGAACUCCUAAGAAUAAUGAUCUC
rnacentral:lncRNA from 1 species